rnacentral:tRNA from 1 species
GUUUCUGUAGUGUAGUGGUUAUCACGUUCUCUUUACACGCGAAAGGUCCCUGGUUCGAAACCGGGCAGAUGCA